rnacentral:rRNA from 1 species
ACGGAGGGUGCAAGCGUUAAUCGGAAUUACUGGGCGUAAAGCGCACGUAGGAUGUAGUGUAAGACAGGGGUGAAAUCCCACGGCUUAACGGGGGAACUGCCUGUGAGACUGCACAGCUUGAGUACGGGAAAGGGUGGCGGAAUUCCAGGUGUAGGAGUGAAAUCCGUAGAUAUCUGGAGGAACAUCAGUGGCGAAGGCGGCCACCUGGACCGGUAUUGACGCUGAGGUGCGAAAGCGUGGGGAGCAAACAG